rnacentral:rRNA from 1 species
UAACACGUGAGCAAUCUGCCCUUGACUCUGGGAUAACUGCGGGAAACUGUAGCUAAUACCGGAUACGACCCUUGGAGGCAUCUCUGGGGGUGGAAAGAAUUUCGGUCAAGGAUGAGCUCGCGGCCUAUCAGCUAGUUGGUGAGGUAAUGGCUCACCAAGGCGACGACGGGUAGCCGGCCUGAGAGGGUGACCGGCCACACUGGAACUGAGACACGGUCCAGACUCCUACGGGAGGCAGCAGUGGGGAAUAUUGCACAAUGGGCGAAAGCCUGAUGCAGCAACGCCGCGUGAGGGAUGAAGGCCUUCGGGUUGUAAACCUCUUUUAGCAGGGAAGAAGCGAAAGUGACGGUACCGUAAGAAUAAGCACCGGCUAACUACGUG